CAAGCAGGACGCAAUUACAGUGCUUCAUUUAUGUGGAAGGACUGCCAUUACCCUGCUGAGAGUCUCAUCCUGCUUCAGAGUAUCAGCUUCUCACCUCUGUGUGGAAACCUUCACUCUGUAGCAGGGACAACU